rnacentral:rRNA from 1 species
UACGUAGGGCGCAAGCGUUGUCCGGAAUUAUUGGGCGUAAAGAGCUCGUAGGCGGCUUGUCACGUCGGGUGUGAAAGCCCGGGGCUUAACCCCGGGUCUGCAUUCGAUACGGGCUAGCUAGAGUGUGGUAGGGGAGAUCGGAAUUCCUGGUGUAGCGGUGAAAUGCGCAGAUAUCAGGAGGAACACCGGUGGCGAAGGCGAAUCUCUGGGCCAUUACUGACGCUGAGGAGCGAAAGCGUGGGGAGCGAACAGG